rfam:Mastigocladus laminosus TT774 scaffold_32, whole genome shotgun sequence.
GCUAUCCGCUAAACACUGGUCAACAGUGGACAAGAUAGCCAGUCUAAGUCUUUAAGGACUACGUUAUUUAGGUUAUGACACCUACAGGUGCUUUCCAGCUUGUAGCUCUGUCGUCAAGGAUUAAACAGGUGUAUUUAGCGCUCGCCAGUGUCUUUGACUUAACAAGCCUAAAUAACAUUGACGAGGAAAACAUAAC